UACGAAGGGGGCUAGCGUUGCUCGGAAUCAUUGGGCGUAAAGCGCGCGUAGGCGGUUACUUAAGUUGGAUGUGAAAGCCCUCGGCUUAACUGAGGAAGUGCAUCCAAAACUGAGUAGCUAGAGUACGAAAGAGGGUCGCGGAAUUCCCGGUGUAGAGGUGAAAUUCGUAGAUAUCGGGAGGAACACCGGUGGCGAAGGCGGCGACCUGGGUCGAGACUGACGCUGAGGCGCGAAAGCGUGGGGAGCAAACAGG
rnacentral:rRNA from 1 species